rnacentral:lncRNA from 1 species
GUCCCAUUACUCUACAGCCUCUACCUGGAUCCCAGACUCCCAUAACUGCCUAUAGUCUAGAUGUGCCUCUAUCCGACAGCUGUCUGUAUCCAGCUAUGCCUCCUAUCACAGCUCCGCAAUUGUCUGUCUCUCCAGCUAUGCCUGUGCCAUGGUCCACGACCACCUAUCUCCAUAGUCGUGCCUGUGUUGCAGCUCCACAGCUGCCUCUCUUCGAUCGUGCCUGUGCUGCAGCCCCAUGCCAUCGUCUGUAUCCUGGCUGCAUCC